rnacentral:rRNA from 1 species
GACGGACGCUGGCGGCGUGCCUAAUACAUGCAAGUUGAGCGAUGAAGAUUGGUGCUUGCACCAAUUUGAAGAGCAGCGAACGGGUGAGUAACGCGUGGGGAAUCUGCCUUUGAGCGGGGGACAACAUUUGGAAACGAAUGCUAAUACCGCAUAAUAACUUUAAACAUAAGUUUUAAGUUUGAAAGAUGCAAUUGCAUCACUCAAAGAUGAUCCCGCGUUGUAUUAGCUAGUUGGUGAGGUAAAGGCUCACCAAGGCGAUGAUACAUAGCCGACCUGAGAGGGUGAUCGGCCACAUUGGGACUGAGACACGGCCCAAACUCCUACGGGAGGCAGCAGUAGGGAAUCUUCGGCAAUGGACGAAAGUCUGACCGAGCAACGCCGCGUGAGUGAAGAAGGUUUUCGGAUCGUAAAACUCUGUUGGUAGAGAAGAACGUUGGUGAGAGUGGAAAGCUCAUCAAGUGACGGUAACUACCCAGAAAGGGACGGCUAACUACGUG